rnacentral:rRNA from 1 species
UAAAAUGUGCAUGUGCACACCCUGCUCAAUUUCCUCUCCAAAAAACCUUCUCCUGUGCACUUUUGUCACAAGCUAUGGUGCGGAUAGCUGGCUUCAGUGUCAGUUCGAAAGCCUUGCUUGUGUUUGUCAUUAUAACAAACGCUUCAGUCAAAGAAUGUGUAUUGGCAUACAAACAUAUGUAUAAAAUACAACUUUCAGCAACGGAUCUCUUGGCUCUCGCAUCGAUGAAGAACGCAGCGAAACGCGAUAAGUAAUGUGAAUUGCAGAAUUCAGUGAAUCAUCGAAUUUUUGAACGCACCUUGCGCUCCUUGGUAUUCCGAGGAGCAUGCCUGUUUGAGUGUCAUGGAAUUAUCAACUUCUUGCACUUAUGUGUGUAUUAGAAGCUUGGACUUGGAGGCUUGUGUGUCGGCUUGCAAAAGUUAGACUCCUCUCAAAUGCAUUAGCGUGAGCGUUAACGGACCACCUUCAGUGUGAUAAUUUUAUCUGCGCUGUGUAGGGUGUUGACCGUUGUUGUUUGUGCUUCUAACUGUCUGCAAGAGACAAUUUUUUACUUGACCAUU